rnacentral:rRNA from 1 species
AUACGGAGGAUCCGAGCGUUAUCCGGAUUUAUUGGGUUUAAAGGGUGCGCAGGCGGGAGAUUAAGUCGGCGGUGAAAUUUUGCAGCUCAACUGUAAAAGUGCCUUCGAUACUGGUUUCCUUGAGUGUGGAUGAAGUAGGCGGAAUUUGUGGUGUAGCGGUGAAAUGCUUAGAUAUCACGAGGAACUCCGAUUGCGCAGGCAGCUUACUAAACCACUACUGACGCUCAGGCACGAAGGCGUGGGGAUCGAACAGGAUUAGAUACCCUGGUAGUCCACGCAGUAAACGAUGAUUACUGGCUGUUUGCGAUACAAUGUAAGCGGCUGAGCGAAAGCGUUAAGUAAUCCACCUGGGGAGUACGUUCGCAAGAAUGAAACUCAAAUGAAUUGACGGGG